AUGCAAAUGAGCUGCCAUAUGUGGAUCGUUUUCAUUUUGUACCUUCAUAACAAUCUGCCUCUGUGUUUUUCAUCUCAUUCUUUGUUAGUGUGUAUCGGUUACUCGUUUGUUGUAUUUGGCACAAUAUGGAAUUUGGUACAUUAUGGUGUGCUUCUGAGGAUCAUUUCUAUGCCCAUUGCGAUUUAUGACAUUAGUCUUCGUUUGAUGACUCGAUGUUUGAUUUCACCACUCUGGUUUUCUUGUGUAGUUGGAGUGUUUCAGAUUGCUCUGGAGUCACCAUGGUGCAUUCUUGUUUUAUUGCUGUUUUCUGAGGUGGAAAUCUGCUUGAAGCAAAGUAUUUCUUAUCUUUACGGAAUCUUUCAUAAACAUAAAACAUGA
rnacentral:lncRNA from 1 species